GGGUCACGGCGCCCAACCCUAGGCGCCCCACCUGGGCUGCCCUGUUGGGCCAUCUUCUUAUUCCGAUGGGCCUUCGUUCCUUAAUAGCAUGAUGAAGUUUAAUUCUCUCGCACGGGCUCGAGUGAUUGGCCCAACUGGAUGAGCAACUGGAGGCGCCUGAGGUGCUGCUGGUGUAGAUGUACUCGUGGUGUCCUCAUCA
rnacentral:lncRNA from 1 species